rnacentral:rRNA from 1 species
UAUGAAGUCGGAAUUGCUAGUAAUCGCGGAUCAGCAUGCCGCGGUGAAUACGUUCCCGGGCCUUGUACACACCGCCCGUCACCACCAUGAGAGUCGAUAACACCCGAAGCCUGUAGUCUAACCAUAGUGGGGGACGCAGUCGAAGGUGGGAUUGAUAAUUAGGGUGAAGUCGUAACAAGGUAAC